CACCCUGUUGUUCGUCCAUUGUGUGUGAACACACACAAAAGAAAGGGACUCGGUGUGUGACAGCAAACAAGUCUCCCACAUUUGCAAUAACGGCUAGUGCGCCUUUCGGUUGGUUCGCCCAAUUCCAUCUUCGUUUUCCCCCUUACACCCUCCUCCAAAAGUGCCUGCUUCUUCUUCUAACACCCUUUCAAGUUUGCAGAAUUAUUAACCUUUUCUUCAUUCAAAUCUACUUUUUUUUUUUUUUUUGGUGUAUUUGUGUAUAUAUAUAUAUAUAUAUUGAGCAACCCAAACAAACACAUGUCAUCCAGUCCAAAAAGUAUCACCGGCAAAUGAUGAGCUCAAAUUUGGUCUGCCUCACUAAAAUAUAAUACCAAAUGAUUACUUCCCCUAAUCACCUGCAUCUUCUUCUUUUUUUUUUUUAAUUUGGCCUGAUAAUUAAAACCUAGAAUAUUUUAAGGCGAAUAUAUCACCUCAUCUCCAUUAUAAUUUAAAACCAAAUAUAAUCGUAAUAUGGCUACAUGUGUUUUUUUUUUUUUUUUUUUUUCACUUUUCCCCAAAGGCUUAUAUAUAUCACCACUAAUCACAUGGAAAUAUAACAAUGUCAAGUGCAGCAAAGAUUAACCAAAAAUGACUUACCCCCAUUAUACGGUCAACCAUACAUCUUUCGUUUGCUCUAUUGGUUCAUCACAUAUAUCCUUAAAAUUGUAGUAUUAGUAAAGUCAAAUAAUGCUACUAUACACCAGAUGACCCCCAAAAAAAAAAAACAUAACUAUACACCUAGUUAGUUAUAACAGCAAUAUAUAAUGUAGCUUAUGCAUUACCAUAGAUACAUUAUUAAGUGAUGACGAUCAGAGUUGGUAGUUAAGUUCAUGAUCAGUGAUGACCUACUACUAACAACAUUUACUAAUACGUCUCUAAGUUCAGCAUAGUUUGAUUAUCACUUUCAUUGCAUUGGAUCCACCAAACUUUAGCUUUAAAGUUUCUCCAGGAAUUCAGAUAAUUAAUGGAAAAAGCAUCCAGGCGAACAAAGAGUAAAAGAGACACGAAAUAUCGAAAUGACGAUUGUACCCUGAUAAUUAUUGAUAAUGAUUAGUUUAGAGAUUAAUAAUCCACUAGAUAAGUCAGCGUGGCAAUUCCGAAGAUAAACAGAAAAGACAUGUCCUAAAAGACAAACAAACCUCUUUCCGCUGUAGCAAACCGCGUUUGGGAGUCGGAGGAGAGAAACGCUCGUUUCCUUUUUUUUAUCUUCUCUCCUGUCUCUUUCUCUCUCUCUCUCUCUCUCUCUCUCUCUCUCUCUC
rnacentral:lncRNA from 1 species